AUGAGAUCUCACUUUGUUGUCCUCGCUGGUCUAGAGCUCCUGGCCUCAAGUGAUCCUCCUGCCUUGGCCUCCCAAAGCCCUGGGAUUACAGAUGUGAGCCACCACCCCGAGCCAAAUGUAAAAGUCCAUCCAAGGCAAAGAUAAGAGUCAAGAGGCCCAGAGGAAUGGGACUGAAGUGUCAGGGGCCAAGGACAGCCCACCGUGGGUUUCCUGUGAUCCUGGGGCUUGGCUAUUUGGACCAGGGGUGAGGGAUAGGGGAAGGGAGACAGGAGAUGCUGAGAAGGACAUAGCCUUAGGGAACAUUACGGCUUCUGUGCCUGGUGCUGCAGUGAAGGAACCAGGAGGGGCUGGCGAUUGGCCUAGGGGUUUGCUGUGUUUCAGAACUCCUCCUCCCAGGGCCUUCCCCUCACUCAGGCCAGACUUCUCACCCAUUUCCACCCCUGCAUCUUCGUUCAGGCUGUUCCCUGAUCCCUUCCCCAGGAGCAGCAUUCCUACUCCUCCUCCUUUCUUCCUAACCCAAGGUGCCUCAUCUCUCAAAGCCCAGAGGAAGGUGCACAUCCUCUGCAGGGCUUUCUCCACAGUUCUAAGCACCCUCUCUGCCAAGCCUCAGACCCCACAAGGCAAGGGUGGGGUGGACAGCAUUGCACAGUAUGUGCUGUGUACUGUGCGACAGGAUGCCUCUUCAGCUCCAGCCAGAGCAGGCUGAAAGUCUGCCCACUAAGUGGCCUCCCAGUCCUCUCCCAUUCUCCUGGCCCACAGUGAGAGGUGUGCAGAGCUGGAACCCCAAAUGGUGUCCCAGUGGGUAUGAUCAAAGCAGACACAGCAAGGUGACACCUGGUCCAGCAAGGUAGCAGUGAGGGCCCCCCAGAAAGGGGUCUCAUGGUUCUCUUGUCCCCCACCAUCUGGAUUAAAGGGUCCCCAGGUCCUGAAGAGGAACUGGGACUGCCUAUCAGAACUCAGGGCAGCGCCUGUGGUCUGCUGCAUGGCUGAGGGUCUGGGAAGUUGUCAUCCCACUUCCAGUGUGGGCUCCCUCCUGCUUAGCCCUGCUGGGCUGGGGACACAGACCUGAGUUAUAGAGCCUUUGUAGGUGUCACCACGUGGAUGUGCUGGUUUGGGAGGCCUUGACCUACCCCAGAGGGCAGCCCCUCAUGAGCAGAUUCCGUUCUGGGCACACUUGUGUGUCUCUGGGCGAGGGGAGUGCUCACUGCUGCCUUCUCAGCUGCUGAGCAGAGGGGCUGCUGGGGAGGACCGUUCCCCCCAUUAGCUAAACUACCCACCGCCACAUGUCCUGGGCCUCAUGUAGAUCGAGUUGCCCGUGCAGGAAGCAGGCUCAGCUAUGAAUCUACCUGAGGGCAGAGCUUUCUGCACUUGUCUUUUGAUUGGGAUUCAUGUUAAACGCCUUGCUUGCUCCUGGGCAGGCAUCUAUGGAUGGGGACAUCUGUGUCCCACUUGACAGUCUGCCAGGCUCCCUACUCUGAGUCUUCAUAGGUCAAGGAUGACUGCUUCCUUCUCUGAGGUAUUCCCCCAGUCCCGACAGUGAGUUUUUAUUACUGCUUGCCACAUAGUCUGUGUUUUAAGUCUGGCCAUUCCAAAUUCCCCCUCCAAAUUUGAUGAGCAGUCUGCCCACUGUGAUUGCACAAUGCCGAGAUGGGUGAGCAGAAACAGUUGUGCUUACGUGGGUGCAUGGUUCUUUGUGAUUUCUGCAGCUAACACUGCCAUCUGCUUCAUGUCCCGGGCUGGGUUCCAUGUCUGUCUGAGAUCUCGACCACCUUGUCUACAGCAGUCUGUGACCCAAGGUAGUAAUUGCUUAAUUGUCUAUUAGGUUCGUGGCUCUCAGGGGCCAGAAAGUUGUAUUCAUCUUUCUAUCCCGGACCUGCACAGGAAGUCAGUGGCCCAUAUGCAUUUGUUGAAUGGAAGGAAUUUUAAACUUCUUGAAGUUUCCCUUUCUUACCAAUUCUAUAUCUCAGCCCAGCCAGGAGCUGAGCCCUUAACAGGUCUGAUGGGUUGGCCAAUGGAUGGGACUGCUGAAAAGUUUCCUAAGUCAAAAGUGGAUUUUGAUCCCCAAGGACACAAAGAAACCCAAAGGCUUGACUCAACCAAGUAUCUGGAGUGCCUGUUGGUGAAAGGCCAGGCCCCAUCACAUGAACCCAAGGGCUCUCAUUCAGCCUCAAGGGCUGUGGAAGUGACUCCUGGUAGGUGGCUCCAGCACUGACUCUGGGCCCUCAGGGUCGAGGUUGCCAUGAAGACUGUGGUCCGCAUCACCUCCUGCCCCAGAUCGGAUUGGAGGGAGCCAGUUUGAAGAUCUGGUGCCAUAAGCCUACUGAUGCAGAACGCUGGAAGCAGAAUGCGGUUAGGGACGGUGCUCGGAGGAGCUGUGCCACCAACCCCACACAUACGCCAACCCUGGGCCGGGGGCCUCAGAUGGGUGGGGGGCCCCAGUCGUGCAGGAGAGGGGCAGGCAAAUGGGAGGGCCUUCAUCUUGGCGGCCAUGGCCAGAGGUGAGGGGUUGGGGGGUCGGGAGAUGGAGGCCUCAGUCCCUGCCCUCACCAGGUGGCAGGGAGCAGGAGGCAGGCUGACCCACUUAGAGACUGGCUCCUUUCAAAGCAGCAUGGUUGUGACGGGGUGCAGUAAGUGGGUCAGCCUGCAUAUAUCCAUGGGUCUUAAACUCUUCAACACUUGGCUGUUAAACAUCUAGAUCCUGCUUUCAUUAGCUUGUAAGCCGUGGCCAUGGGGACCUGCCUGGUCUUCUGAAGCAGCAAGUGUGCCCAGAGGCUAACAAACAGCAGGUGCCUCAAAUAAAUAGGAUUUUAAUACUCGAUGUAAAUGUGGGUGCAAAUAAAUACAUGAAAUGAAAGAUGGGAUCUGAAUUAUAUGUGCAAGUUACACAAUUGCUCAGCUGUUUUGCACUGAGAACUGUAGCGUGAUUGU